rnacentral:tRNA from 1 species
CCCAAGCUAGCUCAGCCUGGUAGAGCUUCCGGCUGUAGAUGUCGGCCUUGGCUGACCGUAUAACAGCAUAUCAGGCAUACAGAGACCGGGUUGUCGAAGGUUCAAUUCCUUCGCUUGGGA